UUCAAAUUAAUUUAAAACACAUAGAAAUUGGAAUAACACAGUUAAGAUAAGCAUGAUCCCUGAACAAAAAUGACAUGAAAAUCUGUGAAGUAUUUCAUAUUUUU
rnacentral:snRNA from 1 species